GUGAAGAACGCAGCGAAAUGCGAUACGUAAUGUGAAUUGCAGAAUUCAGUGAAUCAUCGAAUCUUUGAACGCAUAUUGCGCUCUCUGGUAUUCCGGAGAGCAUGCUUGUUUGAGUAUCAGUAAACACCUCAACUCCCCUUUCUUUUUUUGAAAUGGGAGCUGGACUUGAGUGAUCCCAACGCUUUUCUCACCGAAAAGUGGCGGGUUACUUGAAAUGCAGGUGCAGCUGGACUUUUCUCUGAGCUAAAAGCAUAUCUAUUUAGUCUGCCUAAAAAACAGAUUAUUACCUUUGCUGCAGCUAACAUAAAGGAGAUUAGUUCUUGUGCUGACUGAUGCAGGAUUCACAGAGACAGCUUCGGCUGGCCUUUGUAAACUCGAUCUCAAAUCAAGUAAGACUACCCGCUGAACUUAAGCAUAUCAAUAAGCGGAGGA
rnacentral:misc_RNA from 1 species